CUUUGAUCAUUUUCAAUGCCACUGACCUUUGUUGAAAAGAGAUAAUACACCGGCUCUAAUAUAAGGGCAUAUAUGUUUGCACUGUUACAGAUAGUGAACUUUUUUUCUGAUCCUGUUUAUGCUUUAAUCCAGAAAGAAUGUCAUGCAGUCAUGCUAAUACCAUUUCAAUAGCUCUAGAAAUUCAACAACACAUCUAGUAUCCCGAAAGCCGGGAUUAAGGCUUGGAUAUGAAUGGCAAGAGUCAUUUAGUUUGUUCAAAGAUUUGCAUGCGAGCUUCCACAACAAGUAUUGGAAUGUGGGGUCCAAAUUUAACAAAAUGAAUUAUUCAGGACUCCUACAGCUGAUUCGAGCUAGUUUGGAUUGAAGCCUAGUUGUCUCUAACAUCUUCAAGAUCUUGAUCAUUCAUGCCAAUCCACAGAACGGCUUACUCCAAGUUCAGACUCUAACAUAUCUAACCGAAUUACCUAAACAAUUAAAUAGUGAUCUCCAGACCUAUAAAAUUUUACCCACACGUGCAUGCAAAUGUUUUUCUGCUCGUGCAAUAGAACGACGGAAACUCACUCGAACUGCCAUUAGUUGCAAAUGAGACACAUCCAAUCCAAGUAUGUCACGCAUUAAUCACAAACUAAUUAGGAUCAGCUGUAAGCCUUAAUUUUGUAUCCACUCCGGGCCAUUACUUGAUCUCACUAAAAAAACUUAAAUUAUUUAAUCUACUAUGAUUAGAGAACAGACUGGAGCUUUGAGAUCUAUGACAAAAGUACCUCUUAUUAGUGGUGGAAGUGCUGCUACUCCCAAAACCAGCUAACAAAUCAUCAAACCCUCUGGCACUCGAGCUGCUUGUACUAUUCGUAGGCUCUGUCACCUUCUUCUCAUUCCCCUUCAAAUUACCCAGCAGAUCACCAAAGUGAUCGUCUUUUUGCUUUGGUUGCGGAGGUGAAGUCAUUUUAGCAAAAACGUCGUCGUCAAAUCCCACGGCGGAUGCAGAUUUUUUGGUUACCGAUUUGCUCUUCAGUCCUGGCAAUCCAUCGAAAAUAUCCUCGUGGUACACUGGCUUGUCGUACACAGGCAACGACGAGGCUUUGCUGUUGUUAUUGUGGUUCUUGCUGCUAUUCGAAUGGGAUUUGAAAAUGGAAUCGUAAUUGAAAUCGCUCAUUGAAGAGUAUUUACUGUUGUUAUUACUAGAUUUUGUGAAGACGUCUUUGUAUAAUAGACUAUCAGGAUCAUCGAACAAUGGUGACGAGUUUGAUGAUCGGACGGAAGAGGAGCGGCGAUCUCCACCGUCGGAUCUCAUGGGAGCUG
rnacentral:lncRNA from 1 species